rnacentral:tRNA from 1 species
GAGGGUAUAGCUCAGUGGUAUAGCAUGUGCUUAGCAUGCACAAGGUCCUGAGUUCAUCCCCAGUACCUCCA